rnacentral:rRNA from 1 species
AUACGAAAGGGGCUAGCGUUGUUCGGAAUUACUGGGCGUAAAGCGCACGUAGGCGGCAUUGUAAGUUGGGGGUGAAAUCCCAGGGCUCAACCUUGGAACUGCCUCCAAAACUACAGAGCUAGAGGAUGUGAGAGGAUAGUGGAAUUCCGAGUGUAGAGGUGAAAUUCGUAGAUAUUCGGAAGAACACCAGUGGCGAAGGCGACUGUCUGGCACAUUUCUGACGCUGAGGUGCGAAAGCGUGGGGAGCGAACAGGAUUAGAAACCCUAGUAGUCC